rnacentral:lncRNA from 1 species
ACACCAAUUACUUGCCUCAUCUUCAUGUCAUUUACAUCAUUCAUUUGGUGAAGUUGUUGCCUUUGAGUAACUUGGGGCUGCGUUUGUGACAUGGAGUGCGUGUGAGGUGGGGGAAGCUGCCCUGGCUGCAGUGAUGACAUUUCCCUAGGUCUAUUUGUAUUUAUGAAAUUUAUAAUCUGCUUCUCAUAUGAACCCAGUUUCUCUUUCAAACUAGGUGAGAUGUUGCUCUUGGAAACCUGGAGGAAUGUUAUAAGACGCUCCAACAUCAGUUUAAAUACCUUAAGCUUUUCAAGCUGAUCCGACUUUGGCUGGUGGGGAAGAGAAUCAUGCUGAUAGAAAAAAGAAGAUACAACAUUAAACACAAUAAAAAUAAGUUAGAAACAAAUGAAAAAACAUUUAAAGCUUCCUUUCAAGAAGGGUGAUCUCUUGUCAGUGUUCGGCACACUGCAACCUUCAGAGUUUUCCGGGAUAAUUAUGACACAAAAGGAUUACAAAGUUGCCUAACAAAAUGUACCUGCUGAAGUUUCGUUGCUAUUUUCUGAUACAUCUCAUUGAGCUCCGGCAAGUAGCUCUCUUUCAUAACUUUGAUCUAUUGUUAAAAUCAUCAGAAUCAAUAAAGAAUGUGUUAGAAACCAUGAAAUAUGUCACACAAGAAUAUUUGGACUAUAGUUGUAUUAAAUGGCACAGUAAGUAAAAUAGUUUUUUCCAUUUGUAAGGCGUCGUAAAUUGCAAGUUUCGUUUGUGUGCUGAAAUUGGGAAGAUGCGACUACGCAUUUGGUUACCCAUGAGCCCAAGACUUUGAUAAUUGAAUUGAAAACUUCAAAACUCAUCAAAUCAAUACCAUCUAGGGGUGUUCAAAACCGAACCAACCCAAUAGAAAAACCGCAAACCAAACCAAACCAAUCCAAACCAAAACCGCAAAAAACCGCACUUGGUUCGGAUGAAUUCGGAUGAAUUUUGCACUGAACCGCGCGGUUUGAUUUGGUUUGCGGUUUGCAUCUCAGCUACCGAACCAAACCAAACCAAACCGCAAGAAUAAUGAAUGUUACUUAAACAUGUACUAGCCCAAUUACAUAGCCCAGGAAUAAUCUCUUUUGAUUCGAUUUUUCCAUUGUUGCACCAUGAGGUUCAAUUCUAAUUCCUUUCCAUCUCUUUUAAUUCAUUUCCAGUGAUGAAUUUGUUUCCUUUUCUUUCCAAUAAUUUGCUUCAUGCUUAUGUUUCUUCUUAAUUUUACCUAUUUUAAUAUAAGUUUUACCUAAUAUUUUAUCAUAUAAACAACAAAAUAAAAUGCCCUAUGUUUAUUUUGUAAUAAGUUGGCAAUAUUAGAGUUAAUGUAAUAUUUUUUAUCUCGCGAUAAACCGCACAAGCCGAACCAAUCCAAACCGCAUUGGUUUGGUUUGGAUGACUUUUUAAAAAUCAACCGAACCAAACCAAACCGCAUGCUUUUUUAUCUCGCGGUUUGGAUGACUUUUAUGCUCAAAACCGAACCAAACCGCACCGCGAACACCCCUACAGCAUACCAUCUAUAUCAGCAAAGAGUCAAUUAAAUAAUUACAACAAGUCUGAAGUCUUUAUUAAUGCUAUAGGAUAAAAAGUGUAGUACAGAAAAUCAAAAUGAAAAAAUUCAUUAUAGAUGCAGCCCAAAUCUUUUCCUAUAUUAGAUGAAGGAUAAGAAUCAUCCCCCAAGAAAAGCAAAAAGUGUGGAUUCGUCUCCAUUUUUUUUAAUUAACUAGUGAGAAUUCCAUGUUCCUACUAUUAAGAUAUUUCUCGGCAUAAAAAGCCAUUUAUUUGACAAUUUUCAGUUGAUAAACCCAAUUUUCCCAAGAAAUAAAGAUAAGAAAGUAGCAUAAUACCUUUUGAUAUACUUCUUCUUGCCAAUCACCCCCACUUGGCUUUCCAGUCUUUGCAGUUGAAUCCAGAGAAGACAUUUUGUUAGGUCUAUAUGUAUUUAUGCAAUUUAUAAUCUGCUUCUCACAUGAACCCAGUUUCUCCUUUAAACAAGGUGAGAUGUUGCUCUUGGAAACCUGGAGGAAUGUUAUCAGACGUUCCAACACCAUUUUAAAUUCUUUAAGCAUUUCAAGCUCAUCCGACUUUGGCUGCUGGGGAAGAGAAUCAUGCUG